rnacentral:rRNA from 1 species
CCUACGGGAGGCAGCAGUGAGGAAUAUUGGUCAAUGGACGCGAGUCUGAACCAGCCAAGCCGCGUGCAGGAAGACGGCUCUAUGAGUUGUAAACUUCUUUUGUCAGGGCAUAAACUCAGAUACGCGUAUCUGUCUGAAUGUAUCUUACGAAUAAGGAUCGGCUAACUCCGUGCCAGCAGCCGCGGUAAUACGGAGGAUUCAAGCGUUAUCCGGAUUUAUUGGGUUUAAAGGGUGCGUAGGCGGUCUGUUAAGUUAGAGGUGAAAACCCGAGGCUCAACCUCGGAAUUGCCUCUGAUACUGGUAGGCUAGAGAGUAGUUGAGGUAGGCGGAAUGCGUGGUGUAGCGGUGAAAUGCUUAGAGAUCACAAAGAACACCGAUUGCGAAGGCAGCUUACCAAGCUACCACUGACGUUGAGGCACGAAAGCGUGGGGAGCAAACAGGAUUAGAUACCCUGGUAGUC